GACGAACGCUGGCGGCGUGCUUAACACAUGCAAGUCGAACGGUGAAGCGCCUUCCUUUUUGGUGGGUGUGGAUGAGUGGCGAACGGGUGAGUAACACGUGAGUAACCUGCCCCCUUCUUCUGGAUAACCGCAUGAAAGUGUGGCUAAUACGGGAUAUUCUGGGUCUGUCGCAUGAUGGGUCUGGGAAAGAUAUUGUUUCGGUGGGGGAUGGGCUCGCGGCCUAUCAGCUUGUUGGUGGGGUGAUGGCCUACCAAGGCGGUGACGGGUAGCCGGCCUGAGAGGGUGGACGGUCACACUGGGACUGAGACACGGCCCAGACUCCUACGGGAGGCAGCAGUGGGGAAUAUUGCACAAUGGGCGCAAGCCUGAUGCAGCGACGCCGCGUGAGGGAUGGAGGCCUUCGGGUUGUGAACCUCUUUCGCCAGUGAAGCAGGCCUGCCUCGUUUGUGGGUGGGUCGACGGUAGCUGGAUAAGAAGCGCCGGCUAACUACGUG
rnacentral:rRNA from 1 species